UACGAAGGGUGCGAGCGUUAUUCGGAAUAACUGGGUGUAAAGAGCGUGUAGACGGCUUAUUAAGUCAACUGUUAAAGAGCUCAGCUUAACUGGGCAAAGGCAGGUGAAACUGGUAGGCUAGAGUACGAGAGAGAAGGGUGGAAUUCUCGGAGUAGCGGUAAAAUGCGUAGAUCUCGAGAGGAACACCGGUUGCGAAGGCGGCCCUUUGGCUCGUUACUGACGUUGAGGCGCGAAAGCGUGGGGAGCAAACAGG
rnacentral:rRNA from 1 species